GGUCCUGUGGCCGAGUGGUUAGGCAAAGCUCUGCAAAAGCUUCUACAGCGGUUCGAACCCGCUCGGGACCUCGA
rnacentral:tRNA from 1 species